rnacentral:rRNA from 1 species
UACGGAGGGUGCAAGCGUUAUCCGGAUUCACUGGGUUUAAAGGGUGCGUAGGCGGGCAGGUAAGUCCGUGGUGAAAUCUCUGAGCUUAACUCAGAAACUGCCAUGGAUACUAUUUGUCUUGAAUAUUGUGGAGGUGAGCGGAAUAUGUCAUGUAGCGGUGAAAUGCUUAGAUAUGACAUAGAACACCAAUUGCGAAGGCACUCUGCUGGGCCGACACUGACACUGAGAGACGAAAGCUAGGGGAGCGAAUGGG